rnacentral:sRNA from 1 species
UACGUAAAAAUAAGGAUUAUGUUUAACAUUGUAUAACUGUCAUUUUAUGAAAAGCUCAUGACAUGCUUCUGCUUUUUUCUCAUUUCACCGCAGAUGGGUGAACUUUGUCAUAGCUAUUAGAGACUGACUAGCAUUUGGGGACCACUGUCUUAGGCCAUCCCAUUCUAGCCAGUGCCAUGGCAACAAGGUAGGGCUUGUGGAGGCCUCAUGACUUUCCCUUCUGACCCCUUCCCUUCCCAGAGAAGGUCGUGGAAGCCCUGACCGCUGCCAUCUUGGACCUGGUGGAGCUGUACUGCAACACAUUCAAUGCAGACUUCCAGACGGCAGUGUCCGGGAGCCGCAAGCAUGACCUGGUCCAGGAGGCCUGCCAUUUCGCCAGGUCCCUGGCCUUCACUGUCUAUGCCACCCACCGCAUCCCCAUCAUCUGGGCUACCAGCUAUGAAGAUUUCUACCUCUCCUGCUCCCUCAGCCACGGCGGCAAGGAGCUGUGCAGCCCCCUGCAGACUCGAAGAGCUCACUUCUCCAAGUACCUCUUCCACCUCAUCAUCUGGGACCAGCAGUAAGCCCUUCCCCCAGACUUCGAUGCCCAGGCCACUGCAGACCUGCUCAGCCUCUGAAAUAUCCCUGGGGCCAGAUAACUAGUCCAGGACU